rnacentral:tRNA from 1 species
GGGGGAACAGCUCAGUGGCAGAGCGCAUGCUUAGCAUGCACAAGGUCCUGAGUUCAAUCCCCAGUACGUCCA